UUAAAAAAAAAUCUGAUAUGAUUUGGCUGUAUCCCCACUCAAAACUCAUCUUGAAUUAUAACUCCCAUAAUCCCCAUGUGUCGUGAGAGGGACCAGGUGAGAGGUAAUUGAAUCACAGGGUCAGGUUUUUCCCGUGCUGUUCUCAUGAGAGUGAAUAAAUCUCACAAGAUCUCAUGGUUUAAUAAAGGGCAGCUCCCCUGUACACACUCUCUUGCUUACCAUCAUGUAGGACAUGCCUUUGCUCCUUCGCCUUCUGCCAUGAUUGUGAGGCCUCCCUAGCCAUGUGGAACUGUGAGUCCAUUAAACCUCUUUUUCUUUAUAAAUACCCAGUCUUGGAUAUGUCUUUAUUUGCCCUGUGAGAACAGACUAAUACAGUGUCUUAGAAGGGGUAUCUUGAUGAAACAUAGUAAGCAACUUGCCUCCAAAUGCUCACUUCUCAGUCCUUAGGUCUCCUGUUGUUCCCCACUAUGCUCAUGCAGCUUCAUUUCCAAUGAGAAACCUAAAAUCCAGGAGUGAGGAAACUAUCUCAAAGUCACUGAGUGAAGAAGGAGCAGAGCCAGGACUCAUACUAGGCCCCUGAUUCCUUUGUGCUGGCUCCCACAACUCUAUAUUGCCUCUCACUCUAAGGUAUUUAUCUCUUGCUCUGGAAAACAGAGCUAAAUUAGUCAGAGAACAUUUGCCUCCUGAUUAGGUUUAGCUUAUGAUAACAUAAAAAUUAAAUUGCUGCCCUGAACACAUGCAGGCAGGCUGGAAGCAGCCUGGGUAGACAUUUACCAGGGUAAGAGAGGGUCUCUGGAUUUGAAACAUGCUCGGUAAAAUCUAUAAAGCAGGCAAUCCAUGUGCCAGGCAAUUGAAUAGCUAUUUAUCACAGUUAGAUUAGAUGUUUUACUCAAUCUAGACUUACUGGAAUAUGGGAGAGAGGCUGAGAAUAAUUUUAUUUUCUCACAGACCUGGCCCUUCCCUCUGCCACACAGCUAGAGCACUGGGAUUUCUCCACAACAUCUGUGCCACUGCUUAAAUGAUGGAAGUUUGCCAUGUCUGUAACUAAGAGCCUGGCGGCUGACAUGUGAGCCGUCCAGCCUCACAUGGUCCACAACCCCCUCAAACUUGAAAAGAAGGACAGAGCCACACAAGAGGACAGCUCCUUCUGCAGUGCCUCCUCUGGCCUGACUGGUGAGGUACAAGUUAGGCAUGGAAGAGAAUUAUCUGGAAUGUCUUAUCUGGCUGGUGCCCCAGGAAACCUGAGAUACUGUAUACCUCCUGUUCACAUACUAACACUUCUAAAUUUAGCUUAGGGAGGUGUGGCCUCUAAUUCUUCAUAUGAAGAUAAGCUUCCUUUAACUCAGUGUUUCAACCUCUGCAUCGUGACUAGAUGACAUGUGAGUGGAGAUACUGACCGCCCCCUGCCCCGCCUUCAUCCCUAGGCUGGUCAUCUGGCUGUGAACCGCUGUGAUUUUUAAAUCUGCCAGUGACUUAGACAAUAACAAAAGGUUGCAUCCAGACUAACUUGGCCCAUGUUAAGAACCCUGGGAGCUCAGCCCACAGAUCUCAAGAUGAGAGUGCAGUGCGCUAUCAAUUUCUACAAUCUCAAAAACAGUGAAAAACAAAACCCCUAUUGCUCCUUGGCUACUUUAUUCUUAUCUGCUGGGUGAUAGCUGAUAGUAAGGUGUUGAGAGCACCCAGAAGAGAAGGAACAGCCCAGCUGUCCAUGGUGGGAGAGGAACAAAGACACCUGCCUUCUCACGAGGUAUUUAGUUUCAUUGCAACACUACUCAGUCUUUUAACUUUUAUUUUCUCUGCCUCCCCUGCCUGAUGAAGAAAGGAGACAGCCUCAGAGCUAUGCCUCCAGACGCAUCAUUCCUCUUGCAACACUGACUGUUUUCACAGCAAGAUGGGCCCUUUAGCUCUCCUCAUGAAAUGUGAGGCUGUGUGCCCUCUCUGCCUUCCUCUGACUACAGAGGACCACUGGAUUCCCCAAGGAAAAACCACAAGUUAAAUGACAGCAGAACAAGACUUUACAGGUAGGCAUGUAUUUGGUUGGAUUUUGUGACCUUCUUUCAUGUCUUUUCAGAAUGUAUUUAUGGAGUUGGAAGAGUCAGAAUGCGUUUGCCUAUGAAAAUUUUUUUUGGAACUGAAACAAAACAAAACAAAAAAGCCCAACCAACUUUGAACUUGUUUUCACUAGCCCAGCCGAUGUGCCACUAUAAGCCUUCAAGGGCCUUACCCCAGCAAGGCCUCUGCUUUGGUGCUCUCCAUGACGCAAUCUGUCUCUCUGCAGACACAACUCUAAGGUGUCUCCAGAGCCAAAGUCAGGUGAAGAAAUGGGGUUAUUGUGUGGAUUAUUUUAGGUCAGAAUACAGGCCAAAAAAACAAAACUGGUUCUGUUUGAAAUUGCCUGGCUGCCCUCAUUUUGUCACUUGACUUUACAUGGAGAGAUACUGCUCCAGGAAUUACCCAAAUGACAAAAUAAACAAACAAACAAAUAAAACCGUACAUUCUGCACCAAGAAUAAAUAACGCAAAGUGGAGACUGAGCUUAUUAAUUUUUUCAAAGCCUUCCUUACCUGAAUAUGUUAAUGUGAAUUAAUGUGCUGGACUGGCCCAGAGGAAAAUAAAGUCCUUCUGUAGUUUAUCUUCUAUACCUAAAUUGGCAGAUCUAUGGAAUUCAUGUUUGCAUUACAUGUAAAGUUUUUACAGUUCUUACACCUGGAUAAGGAUCUUUUGACUGGAAAGGUCAAUAUAUUUCAAGGGCUUUGGCUCUGAGAAAGAACGGCUUGGUGGAUUCCAGGUACCAAAUCAUCUGUAAAAUCACAUGCCAAAUCCCAAAAGCUUACUGUCUCCAGGACCACAAACCAAUCAAUUUGGGAGGAAAUUGGCUCAAAUAACAUCAACACCCGUAAUGCCAAUGGCCAAACUCUAGAUGGUGAAUGUGAAAUCUUAAGUGGAAUCUGCUCCCAGGCCAAGACAAUACAACCAAAUCAUCUGGAUGCAAGUCAAGCUAUGAGGUGAAUGUGGGUAGUAUAGUCACCACUCAAAUUCGAACCAGAUGGUAUCAGUGUGACUGAUAAUGACAAAGACCCUCUCCUUGACUGAAUUUCAGCUGGGUUCCCCUGUGCCCUCUUCUUGACCAGGCCUCAACCUUGGCCCCUGUCCUGUCUGUUGCUUGCCUAGUCCAGUCUCAGCAAGAAUUCUGCCAAGUAAUUUUAUUGAGAAUUCCCCCACCCUUGAUAUCUGAUCAAGUUCCUGACCACACACUUUUGAUGUAUAAGUUCUUGGCUUGCCUUCAAGAAUCCUCUUCAGUUGGUUUAGCAACUUCCCCUUACCCUGGAUGUCUCCUCCCAGUGAUUUGCCAUCCAUUCACCCCCUCACUCUACUCAUUGGUUAUAAAUCCUUAUUUGUCUUUAUUGUAUUUAGAGUUGAGCCUGAUCGCUCUCCCCUCUUAAAAUAGUCUUGACACAUAUUGCAAUAGUCCUGAAUAAAGUCUUCCUUGCCAUUUUAAGACGUAUUAAAACAUUUUUUUUGACAUGAUAGCUAUGUUUAAUAGGAGCCAAAGGUCAAGGCACUUUGGCGACAACCACUGUCCGCUUAGCAAGGAGCUUAAGUUCAGCAAGGAGCCAAAAUUGACCAUUUUAGUUUUGAGGCUUUACCUUUAAAUAAACUAUUUAUUUUGGAAUGAAUUUAGAUUUAUAGAAAAGUUGCUAUGUGCUCCCUCACCCACUUAUUCCCAUUGUUAACAUCUUACUCAUCAAAACUAAGAAACCAACAUUGGUAGAUGGCUAUUAACUAAAAUCUAGACUUUAUUUGAAUUUCACCAGUUUUUAAAAUUAAUGCCCUCAUUCUGUUCCAGGAUUUCAUCUAGGUACUCCAUUGCAUUCAGUUGGCAUGUUUUCUGAGUCUACUCUGGUAUAUAAUGAUGUCUUAGCCUUUCCUUGUUUUCAUCACCUUGACACUUUUGAGAAUCACUGGUGAGGUACUGGGGAGAAUGUCCCCCAGUCUGGGUUAGUCCGAUGCUUUUCCCAUGAUUAGAUGGGCCAUGAUUUUUUGAAAAGAAUACCAUAGAAGCGAAGUAUUCUUCUUAUCACACAGUCAUGUUUUUGAGAUGACUUUUUGAUGUGGCAACUUUUGCUCAUUAACCUCACAGCAGGAUUCUUCAUACCUCAAAAGUGAAACCCACCUCUCAAGGCUUUACUGAAGAACUUUACUAAAGAUUUCAUACGGGAAGGUGGGGAAAGGAAAAGAGGAGAAAGUUACAUCACAUAUAACAGAGCACAAGUUAAUGAAAAUCCCCUCUAAUAUCCGUUUUUGCCCUUUUACAAAGGAAUGACAGCACCUGUAUCCUCCACUUGCCCAGGAAGUUUCCGGAAUCCACCUGCUCUAGCCCAUCUGUACCCCAGAUCCCCACUUUUUCUUGCUAUGCAUCUGCAUGCCAUCAUCUAGUUCAGCAAAAGACCUUCUGAAGACUAUCUGCGCAGAAGUCACCUGAAGAUAGUAUUAAUAACUAAGAAACAGUUUUUCAGUCUCAAAUAACUUUCUUCCUUUAUACAAAAAAAGGUUAUUAAAAACAUUUUUACUCCACAAUUUAUCAGUGAGAACUGACUUCAGAACAAUGCCCCUCAUCCAUGAUGAACUGGAAGGUUGAAGCAAACUGUCUUGUUCCUGGAAUCUAGGGGGUGGAAUGAGUGAAGAGGAGCUUACUUUGCUCAAGUGUUAAACAUUGGACUUUUCUUAACAGUCAUAUUAACAAAGUAUCACAAAUUUACUAAUUUUAUUUUACUUUAGUUGUUUGAGUCUCAGUCUCUUUCUAGCUCUUGGUCUUUAGGCAAGUCUAUUCCUAAACUUUCAAGAGAAAUAGAAACUAACCUAGAUUUCUUAUAAGGACAGGUAAUUUUUCCAUUUACUCACUUAACAAAAAAUUAUUCAUUGUGUUUAGUUGCUAGUCACUACCUAUUAAUAGAGUUUUUCUUUUAUUUACUUAUGUUUUAAUUCAACAGAUAUUUACUAAGCUCCUACUAAAUGUCUAGGAACAGAUUAGACCCUAGGGAUAGGGUUUCUACUCUCAUAGAACCUAUAGUCUAAGGAGGAGAUAGAUAUUAAACACAUAAUAAUAAAAAUGAAGUGUAUUAAAAGCUGUGAAGAGAAUCAUAAACAAAAGAUCAAGGAAGGAUGCAAUGUGUGUGUGUGUGUGUGUGUGUGUGCUUUGCCAGGUGUGGAAGGAGUUGAUUUACUUUUUAAGAGUAGAGGUCAGCGAAGGCUUAUCUGAGGGAGCAAUAUUUGCAAAUGAUCUGAAGACUUGAGUAAGCAUUAGCUAAACUGGCUAAAAAGAGGAAAAGUACAGACCAAUGCUGAAAGCAGGGCCUGCAGGAAUGUUCUAGGAACUUAACGUGACAGUGUGUCUGAAGUGGGGGGACUAAUGUGACCUCAUCAAUCAUGCAGGCCAGGCUAAAACCAAGUUUAAGAUUGUGAAUGCUGUUCUCCAGGUAGAGCUCACUGGUAAGCGCUCAGGAGGGCAAGAGCUAAGUAUUAAUAGCUCCUUCCCAUAAAAGAAGAGUAUUAUUUGAACUGUGAAUAUAAUGCUAAUUGACUUGUCCCUCUCUUCCUUAGCUAUCCAUCCCUGCUCCUACACAACCAUGCCCAUGUCUUAAGGAGAAUGAGGCAGCAAACUUUCAGUGUCCACUCAAACUCCCUGACACCACGCACCAUUCCCUAGCGAGGGUCAUUUGCAGUUAAAGACUGAUAUUUCUCUCUGCAGAAGGGAAGAGAUACAUUUGUGUAGAUCAGGUACAACAGUCCCAUUAGCACAUUUGCCUUAGUUCAAGGAUAACUAACUACAAUGAUUGCUGCAAAGAUCUUGUCUUUGUCUACACCUGAUUAUCCCAUUUUUAUUUUUAUUUUUUGGCACGUAGAAAGAUUUGUAAAUUUUAUAAUAUGUAAACAUAUUACAAAAUUUGCCAUUUUAACCAUUUUUAAGAGCUUAAUUGGGUGGCAUUAAUUACAUUCACAAUGUCGUUCAACCAUUGCCACUAUCUAUUUCCAAAACUUUUCAAUCAUCCCAAACAGAAACUCUGUACCAUUAAGCAAUCACUCCUAUUUCUUUCCUCUCCCUAGCCCCUGGCAACCACUAAUCUACUUUCUGUUUCUUUGACUUGCCUAUUCUAGAUAUUUCAUAUAAAUGAAAUCCUAUAAUAUGCGACCUUUUAUGUCUGAUUUCAUUCACUCAGCAAAAUGUUUUUAAAGUUCAUCCAUAUUACAGCAUGGAUCAGAACUAUAUUCCCUUUCAUGAUUAAAUAAUAUUUCACUGCAUGUAUAUACCAUAUUUGGUUAUCUAUUUAUCUGCUGAUGUACAUGGGUUAUUUCUAUAUUUUGGCUAUUGAGAAUAAUGCCGUUAAGAACAUUACCUAAAAGUAUCUGUUUGAAUCGUAUGUUGAAUUCUUUUGGGUUUAAUAUACAUUUUUAAGAAAUAACACAUUUUUAAAAAUUGAAGUAAAAUCCAUGUAAGAUAAAAUUUACCAUUUGUAUUAGUCCAUUUUCACACUGCUAUGAAGAAAUAUCUGAGACUGGGUAAUUUAUAAAGGAAAGAGGUUUGAUUGACUCACAGAUCCGCAUUGCUGGGGAAGCCUCAGAAAAC
rnacentral:lncRNA from 10 species